rnacentral:rRNA from 1 species
AUUGAACGCUGGCGGCAGGCCUAACACAUGCAAGUCGAGCGGAUGAAGGGAGCUUGCUCCUGGAUUCAGCGGCGGACGGGUGAGUAAUGCCUAGGAAUCUGCCUGGUAGUGGGGGAUAACGUCCGGAAACGGGCGCUAAUACCGCAUACGUCCUGAGGGAGAAAGUGGGGGAUCUUCGGACCUCACGCUAUCAGAUGAGCCUAGGUCGGAUGAGCUAGUUGGUGGGGUAAAGGCCUACCAAGGCGACGAUCCGUAACUGGUCUGAGAGGAUGAUCAGUCACACUGGAUCUGAGACACGGUACAGACUCCUACGGGAGGCAGCAGUGGGGAAUAUUGGAAAGUGGGCGAAAGCCUGAUCCAGCCAUGCCGCGUGUGUGAAGAAGGUCUUCGGAUUGUAAAGCACUUUAAGUUGGGAAGCAGGUCAGUAAGUUAAUACCUUGCUGUUUGGACGUUACCAACAGAAUAAGCACCGGCUAACUUCGU